CAGAGUUUUGGACAGAUUGGUAUUGAACUAAGUCAAAAUGACCUCAAGAUGGUAGACAAAAAAAUCAUAUUCUGUCUGCAAACAAAGCAUUUGCAAUCAACCUCUCCACUUCAAGGCAUAUUUUCAGCAUAAUAGCUUCGUAGUGCAAGUCCUUGUCAGAUCCUCAGAUUUGUCACCUAAAAAAAAAGUCCAGGUGCACAAAGAGAGGAGAGAGAGAAUCCAUCACCCUCAUCAGAGAAGAAGGGAAACAGCCAGUUUAGCUGCAAAAGGAGUGGGAGAAACACGGUCAGGUCACACAGAAUUCCUCUUCACAAGAAAUGGAGACCCUGCUGAGCUAUUUCCCAGCCAGAGAUUGCAUGAAUAAGAGUGUAGACAUCACCCACUGGGAACUGUCAGUGCUAUCUUCAGCAGGUUUUCAAACAUCAAGUAUCCUGCAAUCGCCUUCCCUUUAACAAGCCCAAAGAUCUCUCUCCAUCCUGAGUGACUAAGGAAGUGAUGAACCAGCCUAAGUACAUGCACUGUCAUGGACUUUGUCAGCUACACAUGUUCUGUGUAAAUGCAAGGCUUCCUCUGGUGGCCAGAAGAGGAAACUAUAUCAUGAUUUUGGGGUGACCUUCCCCAAGUAGCCAUAAGAAUGUAUGAGUGAAACGCUAGCCACAAUUUCCUCUGGCAUUCCAAGUUUCCAUUUCCUGCUGGGCUGAGAAAGAAGAGUCACAAGGUCAUAUCUCAUACUGUGUCUUCAGUACAGUUUCUUUGUACUAACAGGUAAGUCAUUUGGCUUGUCCAAAUAACAUAGUUUUAGUCCUAUACAAAACCAUUCAUAAGCUCCAAUAAUAUUCAUUUUGUAAAUCCAAACCUAUUUUGAUUUUUUUCUAUCACAGUACCUGAAAUAGAAAAUAUUCCACAUUUUGGGAAUUUUUUGUACAGAGCUAGAACUGUUAAAGUAAAAUAAAUGAUAUAACAAUACAAUCAGAACAAUACAAUAGUUUAUCCUUAGUAGCUUUAACAGCAGCAGCAGAUUCCGAGCCUGUUUUAAUGCACCACAUAAGGAACAUUCUAUUGAACUGCAACCAGAUAUCUGAGAAAAUAUAUUCUUAAAU